AGCGAACGCUGGCGGCAGGCUUAACACAUGCAAGUCGAGCGGGCAUCCUUGUGGUGUCAGCGGCAGACGGGUGAGUAACGCGUGGGAACGUGCCCUUCGGUUCGGAAUAACUCAUGGAAACUUGAGCUAAUACCGGAUACGCCCUCCUGGGGAAAGGCUUGCUGCCGAAGGAUCGGGCCGCGUCUGAUUCGCUGGUUGGUGAGGUUACGGCUCACCAAGGCGACGAUCAGUAGCUGGUCUGAGAGGAGGAUCAGCCACACUGGGAAUGAGACACGGCCCAGACUCCUACGGGGGGGAGGAGUGGGGAAUAUUGGACAAGGGGGGCAACCCUGGUCCAGCCAUGCCGCGUGAGUGAUGACGGCCUUAGGGUUGUAAAGCUCUUUUCGCCGGGACGAUAAUGACGGUACCGGAGGAAGAAGCCCCGGCUAACUUCGUG
rnacentral:rRNA from 1 species